rnacentral:rRNA from 1 species
AUGGGCGAAAGCCUGAUCCAGCAAUGCCGCGUGGAUGAAGAAGGUCUUCGGAUUGUAAAGUCCUUUUGGCGGGGACGAUGAUGACGGUACCCGCAGAAUAAGCUCCGGCUAACUUCGUGCCAGCAGCCGCGGUAAUACGAAGGGGGCUAGCGUUGCUCGGAAUGACUGGGCGUAAAGGGCGCGUAGGCGGACGGCACAGUCAGGCGUGAAAUUCCUGGGCUCAACCUGGGGACUGCGUCUGAGACGUGUUGUCUUGAGUAUGGAAGAGGGUUGUGGAAUUUCCAGUGUAGAGGUGAAAUUCGUAGAUAUUGGAAAGAACACCGGUGGCGAAGGCGGCAACCUGGUCCAUUACUGACGCUGAGGCGCGAAAGCGUGGGGAGCAAACAGGAUUAGAUACCCUGGUAGUCCACGCUGUAAACGAUGUGUGCUGGAUGUUGGGGUGCUUAGCACUUCAGUGUCGUAGCUAACGCGGUAAGCACACCGCCUGGGGAGUACGGCCGCAAGGUUGAAACUCAAA